rnacentral:tRNA from 1 species
UCUCAGGGUCGUCUGCUGGUGCUCUUGUUGGAGCUCUCAUCUGCAUCACGGAAGAC